rfam:Sulfitobacter sp. EE-36 1099451317994, whole genome shotgun sequence.
CGCAUAUUUCGCGGCGGCGGAGCUCGACCGCCCGUUCCGCAAAUGAUCGCGUUCAUCGACAAUCAUCGUGGCGUCUUUGGUGUCGGGCCGAUCUGCCGGGUCUUGGGGAUCGCACCA